rnacentral:lncRNA from 1 species
GGAAAUAGAGAAGGUGUUACCAAGUGUUCCACCUCCAGAACCUAAGUAUCAGCUACGUAGAACAAGCUCCGCCCCUUUCUAACAUCAGUUUCAUGUAUGAUGAAUAUGUAGAUGCAUAGUGUUUGUUAUGUCAUUGAAAUUUAUCUUAGCUAGUCAUUAUCCAUCCAUCUCCUUGUUCUCGGUUAACAACUUUGUUCAGGAGAUUGCCCUUGGCUGUCGCCAAAGUAUCAGCUGCGUAGAACAAGCUCCGCCCCUUUCUAACAUCCAGUUUCAUGUAUGAUGAAUAUGUAGAUGCAUAGUGUCGUUAUGUCAUUGAAAUUUAUGUUAGCUAGUCAUUAUCCGUCCAUCUCCUUGUUCUCGGUUAACAUCUUUGUUCAGGAGAUUGCCCUUGGCUGUCUCUACUUCUCUAGAUAAAUUUCCUUGUAUGUACAUUUUUAUAGUUUUAACUUGGAAUUAUGCAGACGAGAUAGUUUUGGUAGUUUCCUUUCAGUUACUGUAAGCAUUUCCAGUAUGAAUGCUUUAUAGACAAGUUAAAAAUGAAGUAAUUGUAUGUCUUCAGUUGUAUUAAACGAAAGGAGAGGGGUAACCUGAAGUUUACGACUCUGAUAUUUAGAUCAACCUGAAGCUUUGAUCGGUUGUUUUCUAAGUUCAAUUGGGAGAUGUACAUGUUCCAUGUGGAUCAACAUCUGUUGUUCUCCUUUAUGUUGGAAGAAGC